rnacentral:piRNA from 1 species
UGUGACAGACCUUACGCCAAUGGAGA